UAAGUGAAGAGUUUGAUCCUGGCUCAGAGUGAACGCUGGCGGUAGGCCUAACACAUGCAAGUCGAACGGCAGCACAGGAGCUGCCUCUUAUACACAUCU
rnacentral:rRNA from 1 species